rnacentral:tRNA from 1 species
UGUCUAGAUAGCUCAGUAAGGUUAGAGCAUAAGGUUGAAAACCUUUGAGUCAUAGGUUCGAGUCCUAUUCUGGACAA